rnacentral:rRNA from 1 species
UAGGGAAUCUUCGGCAAUGGACGAAAGUCUGACCGAGCAACGCCGCGUGAGUGAAGAAGGUUUUCGGAUCGUAAAACUCUGUUGUUAGAGAAGAACAAGGACGUUAGUAAUUGAACGUCCCCUGACGGUAUCUAACCAGAAAGCCACGGCUAACUACGUGCCAGCAGCCGCUGUAAUACGUAGGUGGCAAGCGUUGUCCGGAUUUAUUGGGCGUAAAGCGAGCGCAGGCGGUUUCUUAAGUCUGAUGUGAAAGCCCCCGGCUCAACCGGGGAGGGUCAUUGGACACUGGGAGACUUGAGUGCAGAAGAGGAGAGUGGAAUUCCAUGUGUAGCGGUGAAAUGCGUAGUUAUAUGGAGGAACACCAGUGGCGAAGGCGGCUCUCUGGUCUGUAACUGACGCUGAGGCUCGAAAGCGUGGGGAGCAAACAGG